UUUAUGUCGGCGACCGGCGCACGGGUGAGUAACGCGUAUCCAACCUGCCCAUAACUAAGGGAUAACCCAGCGAAAGUUGGACUAAUACCUUAUGUAUUCGUUUGAUUUCAUGAGAUUACGAAUAAAGAUUUAUCGGUUAUGGAUGGGGAUGCGUCUGAUUAGCUUGUUGGCGGGGUAACGGCCCACCAAGGCAACGAUCAGUAGGGGUUCUGAGAGGAAGGUCCCCCACAUUGGAACUGAGACACGGUCCAAACUCCUACGGGAGGCAGCAGGA
rnacentral:rRNA from 1 species